rnacentral:rRNA from 1 species
UACAGAGGGUGCAAGCGUUAAUCGGAAUUACUGGGCGUAAAGCGUGCGCAGGCGGUUCGUUGUGUCGGCGGUGAAAGCCCCGGGCUUAACCUGGGAAUGGCCGUCGAAACUGGCGAACUGGAGUGUGGCAGAGGGGGGUGGAAUUCCGCGUGUAGCAGUGAAAUGCGUAGAGAUGCGGAGGAACACCGAUGGCGAAGGCAGCCCCCUGGGCUGACACUGACGCCUCAGGCACGAAAGCGUGGGGAGCAAACAGGG